GGUGGGGUGGCCGAGUGGCUGAAGGCGCCGGUUUGCUAAACCGGUAUACGGUGUUGAGCCGUAUCGAGGGUUCGAAUCCCUCUCCCACCGCCA
rnacentral:tRNA from 1 species